GACGAACCGUCCAAACGUUAUUCGGAAUCACUGGGCUUAAAGAGUGCGUAGGCGGCUUGGCAAGUUGGGUGUGAAAUCCCUCGGCUCAACCGAGGAACUGCGCUCAAAACUGCCAAGCUUGAGGGAGAUAGAGGUGAGCGGAACUAAUGGUGGAGCGGUGAAGUGCGUUGAUAUCAUUAGGAACACCGGUGGCGAAAGCGGCUCACUGGGUCUCUUCUGACGCUGAGGCACGAAAGCUAGGGGAGCGAACGGG
rnacentral:misc_RNA from 1 species